AUGAAAUACGUCAAUGGGUGGACUGUGCCGGGUUUAGCGAGGAUUUUGUCGUUAAGAAACAAAGCAAAGACCAUAAAAAAAUCUAUAAUUGUAAAUAAAUAUGCAGAAGGCAAUGGGAUAAAGGUGAGUAAAGAAAAGAUAAAGAUCGUUGCUCUUAAUGCAAGAUGUUCAGAACGCUUAAACAAAGAUUCGGUAAAGAAUAAAGAUGCAAAAAUUGCAGGAAGAUAAAUAAAUAAAGGCCAAUACUCGUUUCGGAACCAGCUCAUACCACAAUCCAGUACAUUUCCAAGAAUGUAUGCCCAAAUGUUGGGAAUUACAAAUAUUCCUGCAAUGGAAAUAACUUGAGCGAUCAAAGCAACAGUAAAAGAUCCCUCAGAACCACGUAGAGUAAGUAGAAUACCCAACCCUCCAACUAAAGUAUUCAAAAUCUUAGACGUGAGCUUGGAGUACAUGAAGAAAAGACUGUUAAAAACUGAAAAAUACACGGUACCA